CAAGGGCAAGUUGAACGCGUCAACCAAGUUCUCGAAGACAUGCUUCGAGCUUGUGUUAUUUCCUUCGGCAAGAAAUGGGAGGAAUCUCUCCCGUAUGCUGAGUUCUCCUAUAAUAAUAGCUAUCAAGCUAGUCUGAAGAUGGCCCCCUUCGAAGUAUUAUAUGGACGAAAGUGCCGAACCCCUCUGAACUGGUCAGAAACUGGGGAACGUCCACUCUUCGGUCCAGAUAUUAUCCAAGAUGCCGAAGAACAAGUCCGCAUUAUCCGUGAGAAUCUCAAGACUGCUCAGUCACGUCAGAAGAGUCAGUAUGACCGUCAUCAUAAAGACAUGGUCUAUCAACCU
rnacentral:rRNA from 1 species